GUCAAAGUGAAAGCAAAAUAGAAAGAGUGAAGCAAUUCAACUUCGUUGCAGGGGAGCUUUCGGGAAGUUAUUAAGUGCUUUGCAAACGCGGCGGUUUCGCGGCUACUCACACAAGUGCCUAACUGCAUGCAUAUAGGCUUAUAUGUGUGCACUUAUGAUUUCGGCUGUUCACGUCGGCUGUUGAUGGCUGAAAGUUGAUUGUUUCUGCGCCCAUCAUCGAUAUGUUGACGUACUGCAUUUUUGCCUUUCUGCUGCUCUGCGCCCUGUACAUUGCCAUCUUUGUUGCCUACGACAUUCUGUUUUGGAUGUACCGUUGGUUGAGCCGCCGAAUACGCUCCACACAAGAGCCGCAGCCGUCGCCCAAUACACCACGUGCUCUCAAUCUGGCCGAGUAGUGACCGACGGCGUUGCAAAUCCUAAAACUUGACGAAGAACUUUUACAAAGGGAAGUGCGAGUAAUUGAAUGAAUUUCUGUCUAGAAAAGUCUAAAACCUAGGGAAAGGGAUAACUGUUUCUACGUUAAAACGUGCAAUACUCGCUGCUUUCAGCACUGUUCGCAAGCACCGACACAAAUUCAUCAAACUCUGCAUCAUUUAACAAUUUCGGGAAAAAUUUACCACUUUGAAGACUCCUCACUGUUUUACCAGCAAAUAUUUCUGGCAGAGUUUAUUAUGCGUACUAACCGACUUAUUCCGGACUCAAAAGUGACUUUAAUCCUAACAUUUGCCUAAACAGAGCGAUACGAAUGAGAUAAAGGAUCAAAGAAAUUAAUUAAAUUAAAAACUUAUAACCAAUUCACGAUAACGCAACUUUGGUUUCAUUUCCAAAAAUAUAAACUCUUUCAAAAUAAAAAUAGAGAUCCUGCUCCUGAGCUAUUAUUUAAGAAAAAAAAAACAACAUUAAGAUGGCUAGAAUAACUCAAAAUAUCGGUGACAAUUAAAGCAGUGUAUUUUUGUAAAUAAUCGAAAACUUCAAGACGUUCGUCCGUCUAGGCUACCUGUGCACUUUAGCAGUUUCGUGUGAUGGCAGAAGCUUCGUUUCCGCCUGCCGCUUCUGGUGAUAAAGGCUACUAAAUGGGCAGUAAAAUCCUUUGUAAGGGCCAUUGUGCUACGGUCCAUCGAUUAUGAUUACAGACCUUUUGUUAUUUCGUCCCACCACAAUACAUUCACACAUUAACGAACACAAAGGCGCUCACACCCGCAAAUGAAAACGCAGAAUUAAUAGAACGGAAAUGUUUUCCACUUCCUUGGCAUUCGUUGGCGCCGGCGCGUGCAUUUGUACGCGUAGCUGUGUGUGCGAACCGGCGAAUAUCCCGUGAGUGGGGCACUACAAGGUGCGUUUUAUUGUACUAAAUUUGGCUUAAUUGGCGUUAAUUAACGCUUGGCUUCAUAGCGGGCACUCGGCGUUUGUGCGCCAUGCCACAUAGUAUUUCGCUCGUUGUUUCCUUUCAAUUUAAGCAGCGGAAAUGGCAGACCGCAACGACAACUCCCGCCGAUAAUUAACCAUUACUCGCCACCGCCACCACCAACGCCACCAAGACUCGACAAGACUCGAGUGCAGUCCAACUGCAGUGGUGCGGCUGGUUAUAGUCGUCAUUUGAAGCUCUGCAAUUGCGCAAUAAAUGCACACCCACACCCCUCCAUGCUAAUAGUUGCACCGAAUACGGUCAUUCACUCAAAUAGGGAUCACUAUAAAGUGGAUUCAAU
rnacentral:lncRNA from 1 species